UCUGAUUGAAUCACUAGCAAGGAAAAUGGGCGCCCAAUUGACUUUCAUAGAGAAGAUGAAGAUUGAAAUUUUGAAUCCUUUCUAUUUCCUCAAACACGCUAACAAAAACCAAGGAGAUAAUUUUAGGGUUACUUACACGUUGAUGAUCUAAACCCCUUUACUCUUCUUGCUUCCUCACUUCUCCAUUUUGCUUCCUUCACCGCCAUUCCAUCACUCUCUCUCUCUCCGUUUGUCCAAAAUGUGGACGAAACUAGCACCAACCACCGCCACCGCCGCCGCUACAGUCACUGACGGACCGGAUAACCAAACUCCGACCGAAAAUUCUAGGGUUAAGUUGAAGCUAGAAGACAUAAAUUGGGAUCACAUUCGUUCGUGAGUUGCCAGGCAAUCCGUUAACCGAUAUCACUUCUCGCGAGUGGUUCUUUGUUCGAUUUGAUGCCAGUAGAUAGAGAGAUAGAACAGAUUUGAUCGCCAGAGAAAGAUAGAACAUAUUUGAUCACCGGUGAAGGACCUUCGGCCAACGACUGUUUUAGAGGAAAGGGGAUUAUUGUAGAUAUCUGACAGAAUUUAAGUCUGGUAAUGACAAGAAAGAGGUUGCAGAUCUUUCAAUGAAAGCGUAUGAGGUAUAGGCAUUUACUUUUUACGGGAAUUGCAACACAUUUCCCUUUAAAGUGAGAUACUUUUAUUUUACUCAUUUGACCAGUUAGAGCUAAAACAUAACCGACAUGAACCCAUUCAAAAGUAAAUGCUGGUCCUUUCUCAAUUAUUUGAGGUUAUGUCAAGUCUUUACGGGUUAGACAAUAUUCUAAAUUCAGCCGAUAGGUUUGCUCAAGUUAAAUUGAUUCGUACCAAUAUUGUUUUUGAAUAUUAGUUAACCUGUGCU
rnacentral:lncRNA from 1 species